GACGGAGGGGGCAAGCGUUGUCCGGAAUCACUGGGCGUAAAGCGCACGUAGGCGGAUUGUUAAGUCAGGGGUGAAAUCCUGGAGCUCAACUCCAGAACUGCCUUUGAUACUGGCGAUCUCGAGUCCGGGAGAGGUGAGUGGAACUGCGAGUGUAGAGGUGAAAUUCGUAGAUAUUCGCAAGAACACCAGUGGCGAAGGCGGCUCACUGGCCCGGUACUGACGCUGAGGUGCGAAAGCGUGGGGAGCAAACAGG
rnacentral:rRNA from 1 species